rnacentral:lncRNA from 1 species
AACAAAAACUCCAAAAAGCUCAUAAAUAGACAAUUUAAACCCAAAACUUUAGUUCACUGAUAUCCUAUUGUCAUAACAAUAUCAAAUAGAAAUGGAGCAUUUAAAUAGUUCCAGUAAAACAAGCAAAAGUUUGCAUUAAAAGAUAGAGGGGCAUCGAUGACGAUCUUCACUUGAGAGGAAUAAACCUGGAGGAGUGAGUGGCACCAAUACCAGGCCUACCAUGCUUAACAGGCUUGUAAGAGAUUGAGAAUUCAGCCAAAUAGUGACCAAUCAUUUCAGGCUUAAUUUCAACUUGGUUGAAGGUCUUUCCAUUGUAGACACCAAUGAUGCUACCGAUCAUCUCAGGUACAAUGAUCAUGUUACGGAGGUGAGUCCUCACAGGUUCUGGCUUCUCACCAGGUGGAGCUUCUCUUUUCUGUCACAAUAUACAGAGUGUGAUUAAAAUGAACACAGCAUUACCUCAAACAACGUGGGUACACAAUCAUACAGACCAUAUCUAAAGUUUAAAAUGAUACCCAAUGAUACACAAAUUGGGUACACAAGCCUACAGACCACAGUUAUUGAAUUAAACUGACUUGUAAUUAAAAUCAAACACAACAUUGCCCAACACAACUUGUUAGAUACACAAUGAACAUAGGUAAAAUUUAAAAUGAUACACAAUGAUUAUUGAAACAAGUCACGAUUAAUAAAAUAACAGCAGCCGAAUGUAUCUGUUAAUGAGAUAUUCGUGACCAUAUAUCUUUUAAUUUCAAAUGUUUACCCCCAGAUUUAAGAUAGUGUAUUGUUGACAAAUGAUGUAAGAAAAAAAAAAAAAUCUAGAGCAAGUAAAGAGGGUGCUCAGAAAGUAAUGAAUGGAUAUGAGAGUUAUCCUCAUAAUAAAUCAGAUUAACGAGAUUAUUUCAUAACAUCAUCACAGCACCCAGAAAAUUCGAAGGCAAAUGCAAACAAACUAUAAUAUAUUUAUCGCAGAUCAAUGGUGAUUAUCAAAUCAAUCCAUCCCCUAAACCCUAAACAAUUUCCAAAUUGCUCACCAUUAGAACAUUACUCUACUUUUUUUAACAAAUCCUACAAUUUUCCAAAUUCCUUUUACAACUCUAACCACUAAAAUGAAUUAAUUCCCUGAAUUAACAAAUUGACUGAACAAUUACAUAAAUAAAUAGAUAACUCACCGCCUUGCGGAGCUUCUUGAUGAGUGCCAUAGGUUUGCGGGUCAAACCACGUUGAAACCUGAAAUGAACAUGUUGUUAAAUGUAAAUGUGAAAAUGAGACAUGGAUUUCAAAAGAAAUUAACGAGUCCUUAAUAUGAAUAAUAUAAUAGAAGUAGUAGAUACAUAAACAACGAACAAAACAAAAAUAAUACAUAAAAAUCAAAUCUUCAAACUCAUUUCAUCACAUUUCGUCAAAAGUUUACCUAGAUCUGAUGCUAAUAUAUCUAUUAAUCCCAUAAAAUAAAACAAAAUGAAAUAAGUAACCUAAAAUAAUUAACAUAUUGGCAAAUAACCCAAAAAUGAAGAAAAUGGUGCUCAGAAAGUAAUGAAUGGAUAUGAAAAUUAUCUGCAUAAUAAAUCAGAUUAACGAGAUUAUUUCACUUAAUCAUCACAGCACCAUCUUCCUUGAUUCAUAUAUUCAAAUUAAAAUGAAAAACAAACGAAUAUCAAUUAAAUUCAAAAGUAUACCUUCUACGUGCACGAGAAGAGAAAAGCUUGACAAGUUCAUCAGUGGACAUAUCCAAGAGAGCAUCGAGAUCAACACCACGGAAACUGAACUUCUUAAAUGUUCUCUUCUUUGGCACUCCUUGUGCUGCUACCUCUGGUUCAACAUCCGCCUGAAAAAUCAAUCAAAUUCAUCAUUCAAAUUCAACAAUGCGAAAUUAACAGUAGAAGAAGAAGAGUGAAUCGAAGAGAAAGAGAAAGAGAUAGGGUUAGGGUUUUCACCAUGAUUGCAGUGAAACUUGCUCGAUCUGGUUCUUGCUCGCGGCUGCUUCUCACCUC